rnacentral:rRNA from 1 species
CCUACGGGUGGCAGCAGUGAGGAAUAUUGGUCAAUGGGCUUACGCCUGAACCAGCCAAGUCGCGUGAGGGAAGACUGCCCUAUGGGUUGUAAACCUCUUUUGUCAGGGAGCAAUUUGCGCUACGUGUAGCGUUAUCGAGAGUACCUGAAGAAAACGCAUCGGCUAACUCCGUGCCAGCAGCAGCGGUAAUACGGAGGCUGUGAGCGUGAUCCGGAUUUAGUGGGUUAAAGGGGUGCGUAGGCGGAAUGCCAAGUCAGCAGUAAAAUCGCGGGGCUCAACCUCUCUCCGCCGUUGAAACUGGCGUUCUUGAGUGAGCGAGAAGUAUGCGGAAUGCGUGGUGUAGCGGUGAAAUGCAUAGAUAUCACGCAGAACUCCGAUUGCGAAGGCAGCAUACCGGGGUCCAACUGACGCUGAAGCACGAAAGCGUGGGUAUCGAACAGGAUUAGAUACCCUAGUAGUC